rnacentral:lncRNA from 1 species
UGGAUAACAACUUUUCCAACCCAAAAAUUACAAGUAAAAUGGAUGGGUACUCAUUAAGUUGUGGGCAUUUUGGAUAAUCCGCGGGUACCCACGGUAUAUGCACAUAUAUUUUUUAAUUAAAAAAUAUAUUUUUUAAAUUAAAAAAUAUUUUUUUAUUUAUUCAUCUUAAAAAUUCUAAUUCUAAUUUCUUAUCGCAUGUCUUUUAUAUUAUGAAAAUUUUUUACUUUAAAACUUUAAAUAUUUUUAUUGUAUGUUAUGAUAUUAUAAAUAAUGAGUUAUGUUACGUCUUUAAAACUUAUAUAUAUAGUUCAGCUAUGGUGCUUGUAAGUUUUUUACCCUUAUAUUUGCUUCUCGGAUCAUUUUCAACCAUUAGAUUAUACUAUUCAACCAACCACCCACUCAACCCUAGGGGGCCCACAUCAUCCUAACCGCAUAUCUCUUAAUCCAAUAGCUAAAAAUCUACAAGCACCAAUAACUUGGUACUUUUAAAAGCAUAGGAGCUCAAUUAUAUAUAUAUAUAUAUAUNUAUAUAUAUAUAUAUAUAUAUAUAUAUAUAUAUAUAUAGAGUUGAUCUAGGAUACUUUUACAAGUAUCAUCCUCAUGUUGCUAUCACGUUUUUAGCCAUUGAAUCUACUUUUUGAUUACAAAUAGCCCUUGGAUCAAACACUAUUCCACCUACCACCACCUACCACCACCUACCACCAUCAUCUCAACCUCACAUCUUUCCAUCCAAGGGCUAAAAACACACAAGUAUCACUUGGGUGAUACUUGUAAAAGUAUUCUAGCCCUACUCUAUAUAUAUAUAUAUAGAGAGAGAGAGAGAGCAGUUUUUGAUGUGCUCCUGAGUCGUUUUCGAUGAUGGGACUCCCGAAUCGACGAUCGACUCCUCUAGACUUGAUCUAGCAUAUUUGAAGUAUGUAGAAAAUAAUUUUUGUGAUUUUUCGAUAUUGUUUACUUAGUGAUCGAAAAGAUUGUUGAUUUUGAACCCUUUCGAUCACUAAGUAAACGAUAUCGAAAAAUUACAAAAUUUAUUUUCUAGAUACUUCAAAUAUGUUAGAUCAAGUAUAGCGGAGCCGAUUGCAGAUUCGGUCUGCUUUUUUAGCAAACUGACUAAAAUAUCCUUAUACCUUUUUCUCUCUCCUUUUUUUUUCUCUCGUUUUUUUUUUUCUCUUCCUAAAGAGCGGGCGCAGACCCCCACCUUCCUCGCCUCCGACCUCGCCGAGGCCGUGCCGCGACUCUUUUUUUUUUUUUUUUUUUUUUUUCUCCUCCNNNNNNNNNNNNNNNNNUUUUUUUUUUUUUUUUUUUUUCUCUCUUCGACUCUCCUCCACUGUCUCCGACUACGACGCCUCUCUUGCCCUCCUCCGCCCUUUUCGUCAUCUCCCUCUCCUUCUUCCUCUGCCGACUCCGACGACGAUGCAUCUUCGCCGGCGCUGACGCCGGCGCCGACACCGUGGAGGUCACUGCGGCGCUGCAGCCUCGGAGCGGGGGGUCCUUAGCGGCAUCGUCGUCGGCGUCGUGGCCGUUGGCAGAGAGGGGUGACCAAAAAAAUUAUAAAAGAAGCAAGAAAAAAAAAGAUAAAAAAUUAUAGAAAAAGAAGAAUGAAGAUGAAAUUGCAUCGUUAAUUGAAAAAAAAUUAUAAGUUACAUUACUUAAAAUAUAAACUGCAGCUUUAAGAUGAAAAUUACACUUUUAAAAUAAAAAUUACACUCUUUGGGAGAUAUUUACACUAUUUUUCCUCUUAUUGCACUCUUUCAGAUGUAAACUGCAUCAAUUAAUUAAGAUGAAAGUUACACUCUUUAAACAAAAGUUGCACUGUUUCUCCUCUUGUUGCACUAUUUUUUCUUUUAUUACACUAUUUUUUAUCUUAAACUGCACCCCUUUAAGAGAUAUUUAUACUGUUUCUACUCUUGUUGCACUGUUUCUCCUCUUAUUGCACUAUUUCUCCUCCUGUUACACCGUUUUUAUCUUAAACUGCACUUUAAGAGGAGAAACAGUGUAGAGAAAAAAUAGUGCAAUAAAAGAAAAAACAGUGCAAUAAGAGGAGAAACAGUAUAAAUAUCUCUUAAAUUGGUGCAGUUUAAGAUAAAAAAUAAUGUAAUAAGAGAAGAAAUGGUGCAAUAAGAGAAAAAAUAGUACAACUUUUAUUUAAAGAGUAUAAUUUUCAUCCUAGUGGUGCAGUUUACAUCUGAAAGAGUGCAAUAAAAGGAGAAACAGUGUAAAUAUCUCCCAAAGAGUAUAAUUUUUUUUUAAAGAGUGUAAUUUUUCAUCUUAAAGCUGCAGUUUAUAUCUUAAGUAGUACAACUUAUAAUUUUUUUUGCAGUUAACGAUAUAAUUUCAUGUUCAUCCUUCUUUUUCUAUAAUUUUUUAUUUUUUAUUUUUUUUUACUUUUUUUAUAAUUUUUUUUGGUCACCCCUCUCCACGGCGCCGGCGACGAUACCGCUAAGGACCCCCCGCUCCGAGGCUGCAGCGCCGCAGUGACCUCCACGGUGUCGGCGCCGGCGUCGGAGGCGUCAUCGUCGGAGACAGUGGAGGAGAGUCGAAGAGGAAAAAAAAAAAAAAAGAGUCGCGCCGCGGUCUCGGCAGGGUCAGAGGCGAGGAAGGUGCAGGGGUGUGCAGGCGAGGAUAAGGAUGCGUCGGCAUAUUGUCGGCGUCGGCGAAGAUGCGUCGUCGUCGGAGGCGGCAGAGGAGGAAGGAGAGGGAGAGGACGAGAAGGGCGGGGAAGGCGAGAGAGACGUCGUCGUCGGAAACGGUGGAGGAGAGUCGGAGAGGAAAAAAAAAAAAGUCGCGGUGCGGCCUCGGUAGGGUCAGAGGCGAGGAAGGUGCGGGGGUGUGCGGGCGAGGGUAAGGAUGCGCCGGACAAGCCGCUUCCUCCGCCUCCGCCUCCGCGGCUCUAUGGGAAGAGAAAGAAAAAAAAGAACGAGAGAAAAAAAAAAGGAGAGAGAAAAAGGUAUAAGGGUAUUUUGGUCAGUUUGCUGAAAAAGCGGACCGAAUUUGCAAAAACGAAAAAAAUGGCCCGGUUUUGCAAAAGCCCCAAAUAAGUGGAUUUUUUAUGCAAAUUGGCCUAAAAAGUAUAAGAGUAAAAAUGAAAAAAAAAUUAUGGAUAAUCCGCAUACCCAUCCGCCUGCCCGUGGGUGGGUAUGAGUAAAGAUAUUUGUUAUCUAAAAAUUUGUGAGUAAAUUUUAUUCAUGCCCAAGUAAUUCACCGGUACAAUGACUCGCUCGUGGGUUAUCCAACCCGUCCGUUUACCAGUUAUAAUUAUUGAUUAAGAAACAAGAAAAAUGUACGGAAACCCUCUACAUUCUGCACAAUUCUAUAAUAGUUAACUAAACAAAAAAAAAUUUAAGGUGUUCCACUCGCCUAACCAUUCAAUGAUGAUAUGAAAGGCGUAUAAAAUAAGACUUUAUUUGGAAUUACUGGUUGGUAAUAUUACCUGUAAAAAAAUAUGAUAAAAUAUAUUUUAUUCGUUGAGCAUGUCACAAUAAUAUUAGUAAGAUAUAUUUUAUUUUUGUAGGCCUCCUUUGUAAAAGAAAAUCUAGUUUAAUAUUUAAUUAAAAUAAUAUUAGAAAGAGUGAUUUGUUUGAUAAUUGUAAUUUUUAAAUAAAAAAUGAUAUUUACUAUAAUAAAACUUUGUUAACAAUAAUAAUAUUAAUAUAUAUAUAUGGAGUAGGGCUAGAAUACUUUUACAAGUAUCACCCAAGUGAUACUUGUGUGUUUUUAGCCAUUGGAUCUACUUUUUGAUUACUAAUAGUCCUUAGAUAAAACACUAUUCCACCUACCACCACCUACCACCACCUACCACCAUCAUCUCAACCUCACAUCUUUCCAUCCAAGGGCUAAAAACACACAAGUAUCACUUGGGUGAUACUUUUACAAGUAUUCUAGCUCUACUCUAUAUAUAUGAUUGGAUUAUUACUUAAAAAAAAUUUAAAAUAUUCUGAUCUUUGAU